rnacentral:rRNA from 1 species
UACGUAGGGGGCAAGCGUUGUCCGGAUUUAUUGGGCGUAAAGCGCGUGUAGGCGGCCAGAUAGGUCUGCUGUGAAAACUCGAGGCUCAACCUCGAGCUGUCGGCGGAAACCAUCUGGCUAGAGUCCGGAAGAGGAGAGUGGAAUUCCUGGUGUAGCGGUGAAAUGCGCAGAUAUCAGGAAGAACACCUAUGGCGAAGGCAGCUCUCUGGGACGGUACUGACGCUGGGACGCGAAAGCGUGGGGAGCGAACAGG